rnacentral:rRNA from 1 species
UACGUAGGGGGCUAGCGUUGUCCGGAAUCAUUGGGCGUAAAGCGCGUGUAGGCGGCCCGGUAAGUCCGCUGUAAAAGUCAAAGGCUCAACCUUUGAAUGUCAGUGGAUACUGCCGGGCUAGAGUCCGGAAGAGGCGAGUGGAACUCCUGGUGUAGCGGUGGAAUGCGCAGAUAUCAGGAAGAACACCAACGGCGAAGGCAGCUCGCUAGGACGGUACUGACGCUGAGACGCGAAAGCGUGGGGAGCGAACAGG